UAGCCAUGCAUGUCUAAGUAUAAAUUACUCUUCGCGAAAACUGUGAAAGUGUCUCUUUAUCUCAUAUAUAUUAUAUUAGGUGUCUUCUUACUCUCAUAUACGUGUUAAUUAUAUAGAUAAUACACGCGCAAAAUCCCGACUCACGAAGGGAUGUAUGUAUUUUAUUAAAGACCAACUCGGGCUCGCCCGUUUUUUUGGGGAAUCAUAAUGCAUUGAUGAUCGCAAGGCCUUGUGCCUGCGACAGAUCAAUCAAAUAUCUGCCCUAUCAUCUUUCCAUGGUACGAUAGUGGGCUACCAUGGCUGCUGCGGUGAACGGAAAAUUAGACUUCGAUUCCGGAGAGGAAGCCUGAGAAGCAGCUACCACAUCCAAUGCUGGAUCCAGGGGAGGAAAUUACCCAAUCCUGUCUCCAGUAGGGAUUGACAAUAAAAAACAAUACCGGUCUCUAUACCAUUGGCUAUUGAAAUGGGCGAAAGCUAAAACCUUAACCCAGGAUCCAUUGAAGGGGACCCUUGGAAAGAAA
rnacentral:rRNA from 1 species